rnacentral:lncRNA from 1 species
CGAGCGAGUUGGGUCUUGCAGUCGCCCACCGCCCCGCUCUGCAGAUCGGUAGACUGAGGCCCGUCUAGGCGCGCAGCUCCGCGGGGCGGGAGUGGCUGAGCUAGGCGCUGACACGCCCUCUGUCCGCCCCAGAGGCAGCUCUUUGAGAUUCAGUCCACUCCGGCGCCCACCCCCAGGUUGUCCAGAAAGUCCACUGGGCCAGGACGGUCACCCGUGGGCCUGACCUUCGGCGGUGCUCAGGGCCGAGCCCCUGCUCCAGCCGAGCCUCUUGGGACUCGGGCCACCUCUUCCCGAGCUGCUGUGCAGGCAGGUUCAGUGUCCUGUGUGCCAUCUCAGCCCCACCCCUCCAUGGCUGAGCAGUGGAGUGCCUGGCCCUGCCUAAGACCCUGGCUCUGGAGUUUAGUCUGUGAGUCUGCUCCUGCUUGACACGCCCCUAUCUAAGGCAGCGGAUUCACUGGCUCCUCAAGGCUGAAGGCAACCGGGAACCAGUACCCAUCUCUAAUCUUGCAAAGGAAUUCAGUGAGAAAUGGAAUAAAAAAAUCACCAAGCACAUUUCCUCCAUAUGCUUUGUGAAACCAUAGAGAAUGCUCAUAUUGCACACCCCAGUGGGACACCCAUCAGCGAUGCUUUCAACCACUAGUGAUAAGCCAGGCAUGGUGGCACACACCUGUAAUCUCAGCCCUCGGGAGGCUGAGGCAGGAGGAUUACUAUGAGUUCAAGGCCAGCCUGAGCUACACAGUGAGUUCAGGGCCAGCCUGAACUACAAAGUGAAACUCUGUCUCAAAAAACCAAAAAAAACAACAAACAAACAAACAAAAAAAC